AUGCGCGUGUUAUUUGGUUCUCAAGAUGUGUUAGAACUUGUUACUGAUGGCUAUAAUCUGUUAGAAGCAGAUGCAACAGAGGACCAGAAGAUAGCACAGAAGGCGCUGAGGAAGAAAGAUCAGAAAGCGUUGUUCUACAUCCAUCAAUGUGUGGAUGUGAAUGUGUUUGAGAAGAUUACUGAUUCCGAAACAGCAAAGGUUGCGUGGGACACACUGGUCAGAUGUUACGGUGGUGACGCAUCAGUGAAGAAGGUGAAGCUUCAGUAUCUCAGAAAGCAAUAUGAGAAUAUCAACAUGAAAGACAACGAG